rnacentral:rRNA from 1 species
GACGAACGCUGGCGGCGUGCCUAAUACAUGCAAGUCGAACGCUUCUUUCCUCCCGAGUGCUUGCACUCAAUUGGAAAGAGGAGUGGCGGACGGGUGAGUAACACGUGGGUAACCUACCCAUCAGAGGGGGAUAACACUUGGAAACAGGUGCUAAUACCGCAUAACAGUUUAUGCCGCAUGGCAUAAGAGUGAAAGGCGCUUUCGGGUGUCGCUGAUGGAUGGACCCGCGGUGCAUUAGCUAGUUGGUGAGGUAACGGCUCACCAAGGCCACGAUGCAUAGCCGACCUGAGAGGGUGAUCGGCCACACUGGGACUGAGACACGGCCCAGACUCCUACGGGAGGCAGCAGUAGGGAAUCUUCGGCAAUGGGCGAAAGUCUGACCGAGCAACGCCGCGUGAGUGAAGAAGGUUUUCGGAUCGUAAAACUCUGUUGUUAGAGAAGAACAAGGACGUUAGUAACUGAACGUCCCCUGACGGUAUCUAACCAGAAAGCCACGGCUAACUACGUG